rnacentral:rRNA from 1 species
GAUGAACGCUGGCGGCGUGCCUAACACAUGCAAGUCGAACGAGCCUUCGGGCUAGUGGCGGACGGGUGAGUAACACGUUAGUACCUGCCCUUUAGUGGGGAAUAACCCGGCGAAAGUCGGGCUAAUACCGCAUAUGGCCGUUUACGGUUAAAGACUUCGGUCGCUAAAGGAGGGGCUUGCGUCUGAUUAGCUAGUUGGUAGGGUAAAGGCCUACCAAGGCGACGAUCAGUAGCUGGUUCGAGAGGAUGACCAGCCACACUGGGACUGAGAUACGGCC